AAUGGCAGUACAAGGUCCCCCAUGGACACGAAAGCAGUGAGGAGGCUUCAUUGGAGACGGUGCGCACUGAAAACUGUGAAACCGCCCAAAGAGAGAGCUUGCCAGAUGAAACUUCUCCAGAUGACUCCUCUCCAGAUGUACCAUUGGUAGGCAUCGAGCCCUUUGAGCUGCCUUCGUGUUCAGACGACGAUGGGAACACCUUCAUUUUCCCCAAGCUUGGAGCUCUCCAUGAUACGAUCAUCUCUGGCAAACCUCUGACAUCUUCAUCAUUCCGAAAGAUUGUGGAGCUCCUCUUUCGUGCAAUGGUGAACAUAACAGUGUUCCCAUCUCAGCACUUUUACUCCAAGGUCACUCAGCUACUAACUGACAAGUACCCUCAGCUCCAAGAUGUUAUAGGAACUGGAUCAGUAAGCACAUUUCUUUUGCACGUUUAUAAUAAUAGCUGCGAUCAAUUCUUAGCAUUGGUGCUUCUAUACAUCUUUCCAAAAAACGCUCCUAGGCCGCCGCCAUGUUGCUGAUGCUGAUGCAGCUGGCCCUCUAUCAGCUAGAAAUUUUCUGCCACCCUCUUGGACUGUUUUUUUUUUUUUUCUUCUUCUUACAAUUCAAAACCCAAUGUUUACACUGGUGGACGCAGGGUCUCGGGAGGUUAUACAGGGUGUUUCACGAAAGGUGGACAAAUUCAAUAUUGCAAAAACUGCUCGAAGGCUUGUGUCG